UGAACAUCUUGUAGUCGGUUGAUCACUGC
rnacentral:piRNA from 1 species